rnacentral:rRNA from 1 species
UACGGGGGGGGCAAGCGUUGUUCGGAAUUACUGGGCGUAAAGGGCGCGUAGGCGGUGCUCUAAGUCGGAUGUGAAAACUCUGGGCUCAACCCAGAGCCUGCAUCCGAAACUGGAGUGCUAGAGUUCUGGAGGGGGUAGCGGAAUUCCUGGUGUAGCGGUGAAAUGCGUAGAUAUCAGGAGGGACACCGGUGGCGAAGGCGGCUACCUGGACAGAAACUGACGCUGAGGCGCGAAAGCUAGGGGAGCAAACGGG